ACGAGUAGUGCGAAAGCUGUUUUUCUCAUUGGAAUAUUCUUUGUUAUCCAGAAAAUGCCAUUUGAAAAUGAGUUUCUCUGAUCUUUCAUCUUACUGGGACAUGACCGAGCUAUGAAAAGUGAACUUCAAGAUCUUUGGGAUAUGAGCAUUUGAAGUUGUUUUGUACAAAGACUUUUGAAGGAACCAGUGU
rnacentral:lncRNA from 1 species